rnacentral:rRNA from 1 species
UACGUAGGGUGCGAGCGUUAAUCGGAAUUACUGGGCGUAAAGCGUGCGCAGGCGGUUCGUUAAGUUCGUUGUGAAAGCCCCGGGCUCAACCUGGGAACUGCAAUGGAAACUGGCGGGCUUGAGUGUGGCAGAGGGGGGUGGAAUUCCUGGUGUAGCGGUGAAAUGCGCAGAUAUCAGGAGGAACACCGAUGGCGAAGGCAGGUCUCUGGGCCACUACUGACGCUGAGAAGCGAAAGCGUGGGGAGCGAACAGG